rnacentral:rRNA from 1 species
AUUGAACGCUGGCGGCAUGCUUUACACAUGCAAGUCGAACGGCAGCGCGGGCUUCGGCCUGGCGGCGAGUGGCGAACGGGUGAGUAAUGCAUCGGAACGUGCCCAGUAGUGGGGGAUAGCCCGGCGAAAGCCGGAUUAAUACCGCAUACGACCUGAGGGUGAAAGCGGGGGACCGAAAGGCCUCGCGCUAUUGGAGCGGCCGAUGUCGGAUUAGCUAGUUGGUGGGGUGAAGGCUUACCAAGGCGACGAUCCGUAGCUGGUCUGAGAGGACGACCAGCCACACUGGGACUGAGACACGGCCCAGACUCCUACGGGAGGCAGCAGUGGGGAAUUUUGGACAAUGGGGGCAACCCUGAUCCAGCCAUGCCGCGUGCGGGAAGAAGGCCUUCGGGUUGUAAACCGCUUUUGUUCGGGAAGAAAUCCUCUGGGCUAAUACCCCGGGGGGAUGACGGUACCGGAAGAAUAAGCACCGGCUAACUACGUG